ACUAAAAUGCAACUCGACUCGCACAUACGAACGCAUACGGGCGAACGACCGUUCAUCUGCGAGUAUUGCCCGACCACCUUCUCACAGCAGUCCAACCUCUACAAGCAUAACCGACAGGUGCAUUUAAACAUAAAAUCGAAGAGAUACCCAAUCUGCAAGAAGCGGAAAGAGGAGAAGCCUCCAGAAGUGAUAUUGGAGCCGCCUAAUAUGGACGCGUAUCGACCGGUCGCCAUCUUGCAAUACUCGCCCAGCGCUUUGUGUACUACUAUCCAGUAUUAAUUAUGAUUAUGGUAUACAGGGUGUCCCAAAAAGUAGUGUCAAGCCGAAGCCCAGAGGUAGAGCAUCACUAGGGCUAUCCAAAUCACCCCCAUGUAUGUUCCGCGAUUGUUGAUAGUUUUCGAGUUAUGAUUGUUUUAAAUGGCAAUGCCAGAUUUUGUAUGGAAAGUGGCGUCUUUUUUUUUUCGCGCGGCCAUCGACCAAACUUUGUUUUUUGAUUACAAAAUAGUGUAAUAAACCAAACUUACUAUGGCAUGUAUACCUCUAAACUCAGUCUGAACUGAGUUACGAGCAUUAGAAGUUUGAUGAUUUUCAUACUAGAUUUGCUUUUUGUGCGCAAGUUUUGUAAGAAAUUGCAACAAAAUAUUGCGCUAUUUUUUAUUGCGCUGAUUCUGCUCCAUACUGAUGUCUGGAGCCUUUAAUGGAUGAUAUUGUUUGUUUACACAUACAAUCUCACUAUUUUGUUGCAAUUUCUUACAAAACUUUGCGCGCAAAAAGCAAAUCUAGUAUGAAAAUCA